rnacentral:lncRNA from 1 species
CCAGGGUCGAUGGUGCUGAAAUGUGUGUGCUUCUAAUAUUCGGCAUUCUAACGCUGUUACCAAGGUGAGGUUCAAAUAUUUUGUUUUGUUAUACAAAGAUCUGUAUUUAAUUUGCCUGUUUCAACAUCUAGUGCCACCUAAGAUGGAAAAGUUGUAUAAGAAUUCUCCUAUUCCAAGAUAUACAGACUUUUGACAGGGGAAGGAAACAGGGUCACUCUUUUCAUUGUGUAGACAUAAUCCGUUUUAUAAAGAAGGAUCUUGGCUGCUGUGUUCAGGUGUCUUUGGAGUCUGUGCUUUGCUUCCUCAGCAAAUCAGAACAAAAGAGAAGAAAACAGGUUUUUUUUUUUUUUUUUUUUUUUUUUUUUUUAGCUAUCAUGCUGUGCUGCAGAUAGUUGAAGUGAAAUAUUGCGUAAUAAAUUGUUUUUGGCAACGCAGUUUCCUCCCUAGAACUGGAUAUCAAAAUGUGGUUCCCAUUUUUCCACGAGUGUGUUAGAAGUUCCAUUCUGUGUGACGUCGGAGAUGCUGAUCCAGGAUGUGGACUAGGAAGGACCAGGUCACAGUGAUAGUACCCCACAGUUAGACAUGCUAGUGUAUUGCUCACUUUGCUAGUGAGAACUUUAUUUAAAAUGAAUAUCUGCCACGAAUACUGUUAUGUCAUCAUUAUGAUUUGUGGGUUUUUUUCCUCCAAUUUAUUGAAUAAUCCAAUAAUCCAAUUUACAUAAUCCAAUGAGGUUUAGUCCAAACAAACUGUACUUUAAAAUUAGUUAUUUGGGGGAGACAUACAAAGGUGAACAAGAAAAAUAGCACUGAGAGAAGUUAGAAGAUACAGUUGUUAAGCAAACCUCAACUUUCAAACUUUGGCAAUCCUGAAUCCGAACAAAGCUCUAAAGUCAUCCUGACACAUAAAAAGCUUUAGAACUUUUAGUAACCAGGCUGUGCUCUCGGACGUAACGGCACUGUUCUAUCCAGCUAUUUACAUCUGAAUUCACUAAUAGUUUUAUCUCUAUCUUUAAACUAUCAUUAAUUUUAAGUAGAUAAUUUGAAGUGUCUGAAUAUUACUUCAAGUGGAAUAAUACUCAAAAACACAGAGAACUGCUUUAAUAAUGCUAACAGCCCUAGGUAUUCAAGUUUAUUUAUUUUAGAAUGAUACUGGAUUAAAGUUGGUUAAUAAAACACCCACAUACUGGUGAACUGGAG